CCAUAAUGAACAGGUCAGAUUCUGUACUAAGAAGGCUAUACUGAGUUCAUCAGGCAUUUCCUGGACUUCCUGGUUUCUUGGCCCAGUCCAGCUGUGAGUCCACCUGCUCCGCUUGGAGAUUCAGCUCGCUUUCCCAUGACUGCUGGAGUCAAUUAACGGCUCAGAAAAACCACCGCAUUGAGGUGAAUUUAGAUGCAACUGCCUGCCGAGUGGAGGAAAAGAGCCCAGCGCUGCAGUGACAGACAUUUGGCGUAAUGACACAAUGGAAUCACCUCCUUAUCGGCCUGUGAGCAAAUGCUGCUCACUUCUGCAGACUUUCCAUUGCCUUCUGAGGUUUCUUUGCCAGGUUUCUAGCAUUGUGACUCAAGAGAAGCUGUUAAUGGUCUUUGAACAUGAACCAAGAGAGGCGUAAGAGUGUCCCAUUUAUUUAGCAGCUGUGGUGCUCAUGUGAGAAAUGCGAGUUUGAAUCCGGCUUGCAACCAUUUCUG